AACGCGAAGAACCUUACCUGGGCUAGAAUGCAGAGAGACUACCGGUGAAAGCUGGUUUUGUAGCAAUACACUGUCUGUAAGGUGCUGCAUGGCUGUCGUCAGCUCGUGCCGUGAGGUGUUGGGUUAAGUCCCGCAACGAGCGCAACCCCCAUCACUAGUUGCCAUCAGGUAAAGCUGGGAACUCUAGUGAAACUGCCGUCGUAAGACGCGAGGAAGGAGGGGAUGAUGUCAAGUCAUCAUGGCCUUUAUGCCCAGGGCUACACACGUGCUACAAUGGGAGAGACAAAGGGCAGCAACAUAGCGAUAUGAAGCUAAUCCCAAAAACUCUUUCUCAGUUCAGAUUGCAGUCUGCAACUCGACUGCAUGAAGCUGGAAUCGCUAGUAAUCGUAUAUCAGCAAUGAUACGGUGAAUACGUUCCCGGGCCUUGUACACACCGUAGAGAC
rnacentral:rRNA from 1 species